UACGUAGGGGGCAAGCGUUGUCCGGAAUCAUUGGGCGUAAAGAGCGCGUAGGCGGCUGGAUUAGUCCGGUGUGAAAUCCACAGGCUUAACCUGUGAAUGCCGCUGGAAACUGUCUGGCUAGAGUCCGGAAGGGGCGAGUGGAAUUCCUGGUGUAGCGGUGAAAUGCGCAGAUAUCAGGAGGAACACCAAUGGCGAAGGCAGCUCGCUGGGACGGUACUGACGCUGAGGCGCGAAAGCGUGGGGAGCAAACAGG
rnacentral:rRNA from 1 species